rnacentral:rRNA from 1 species
AACGAACGCUGGCGGCGUGGAUAAGACAUGCAAGUCGAACGGGAGUUUAUUUAUAGCAAUAUGAGUGAACUCUAGUGGCGAAAGGGUGCGUAACACGUGGCUACCUACCUCGAAGUUGGGGAUAGCUCGGCGAAAGCCGGAUUAAUACCGAAUGUGACCGUAAGGUCAAAGCUGGGGAUCGUAAGACCUGGCGCUUUGAGAUGGGGCUGCGGCCUAUCAGGUAGUUGGCGGGGUAACGGCCACCAAGGCUUCGACGGUAGCGGGUCUGAGAGGACGAUCCGCCCGACUGGGACUGAGACACGGCCCAGACUCCUACGGGAGGCAGCAGUUGGGAAUCUUGCACAAUGGGCGAAAGCCUGAUGCAGCGACGCCGCGUGGAGGACGAAGUCUCUC